AAUCAUCCUGGGAAGGGCCCGUUCAAAAACACAACUCUAUCAGUGGUCUCUGCUUUCUUCUGAGCCAUCCUUCCCAAUGGAAGUGGUGGUAGGAGGCCCCACUGGCCAGGUCAGGCAGGAUGCCUUUCCCGAGCCCUGGGCGGAGUCCUGCUGUGGGUACCAUCCCCCAGAAGCUGGCCUUGGAAAUGAAGUCCAAGUGGUGUGGCUGGCUUCAGAUAAGGCUUCAUCAGGAACUCUAAAUGAUGUCAUCAGGACCCGGUGUUCCCUGUUGUCUUUGGCCUCAGCUCUUCUCCAGAAUCACUGUGAAAGUCAAGGCUCUAGGUUGAGCUUUUCGGAGCGUCCCCGUAAGUCACACUGAGGAACUGGGCCACCAAGAGAGCGGCUGUGUCUUCUGCAAUCAGAAGGCACUGCCAACAAUGCAUUCAGAAGACACCCCAGUCGUGAAACCCUCUUCCAGCAGCUCCAGAAGCACGGUGUACCUGACAUGAUCCAGGCACACUGGGUGCCCACGUCCUUCCUCUCAACACCCACCAAGCCAGCACCUGGACCCUUGAGUUUUGCUGACACCAUUGAGAAAAUUUCAACCUACUGAAAAAUUAGAAGAGGAAUACAAUGAGCACCUAUGAACGUUUCACCUAGAUUCGUCAACCAUUGACAUUUUGCCACAUUUGCUUUCUUUCCCUCUCUCUUACAGGAAGUUAGUUGCAAGUUUGCUGACGAUUUCCUCUGACCAGAUGAGCUAUUAUCUCACAAAAGCAAGGACGGUCUCCUCUAUUAUCACUAUUACCACACUCAAUAAAUUUAA